rnacentral:rRNA from 1 species
UUGACCUCGGAUCAGGUAGGAAUACCCGCUGAACUUAAGCAUAUCAAAACCGGAAGGAAAAGU